rnacentral:miRNA from 15 species
AGAGGUAUAGCGCAUAGGACAA